rnacentral:rRNA from 1 species
UGGGGAAUAUUGCACAAUGGAGGGAACUCUGAUGCAGCGACGCCGCGUGAGUGAUGAAGGAAUUCGUUUCGUAAAACUCUGUUCUAUGGGAAGAAAAGGACUGUACCAUAGGAGAAAGCUCCGGCUAAAUACGUGCCAGCAGCCGCGGUAAUACGUAUGGAGCGAGCGUUGUCCGGAAUUAUUGGGCGUAAAGGGUGCGCAGGCGGCUUUACAAGUUGGAUGUGAAAUAUUGUGGCUCAACCACAAACGUGCAUCCAAAACUGCAAAGCUUGAGUUAAGGAGAGGUAAGUGGAAUUCCUGGUGUAGCGGUGGAAUGCGUAGAUGUCAGGAGGAAUACCGGUGGCGAAGGCGACUUACUGGACUUAAACUGACGCUCAGGCACGAAAGCGUGGGGAGCAAACAGG